rnacentral:rRNA from 1 species
AUGCAAUCUGUAGUCCCAAAUCUGGAUUCUGAUUCGAGCUAUAUUGAACCAAGUUGGAGAGAUUUGAAGAUGUUGUCCGUCAAGCAUGGGUAUGUGAUGAGGCUAUUGUAG